CAGACAGAGGUGGAGCCGGUCCCAGGGACAGGGAUUAGAUGGGGAGACAGGAAGAGAGGUGGAGACAGAGUGGGGCAGGGAUGGCGGGAGACACACCCCCUGGUCACAGCCUCUGAGACCUGGGGGUGGUGGGCCCCCAGGGCGGGCGCCUCCCAUCCCCCUCCCAGUUCUCCUGGGGUCGGGAUAGGCGGAAAGGCUGAGUCAGGGAGGGCGGGCCCCGCUGGGAGAGAGCCCCUAGGUGGGCAUCCGGCCUCCACCCCCGUGUCUCCUGUCCGUCUGACAGGCCCUGGCCUCCUUCCACCACCUCCUGUCCUGCUCCUUUCCAUCCCUUCUCCCCUUCCUGCAUUUCUUUCCUUCCAUUCCUCCCCCUGUCUUCAUUCUGUCUCCUCCCCUCCCUCUCCAUUUCUCCUUUUCCUCUCCCUCCUCCCUCCCUCCCUCCUCCACCUUUUCCUCCAUUCUCCAUCAUUCUCCCUUCCUUUCCCGUUUCUCUGGAGCCUCCCUCUGGGGGGCUCUGUCCUCCCCUCACUUUGCCCUUUCUCUCUCCCUGCUGUGUGUCUUGGCCUGCCCCCCCCGUGCCCCUUAUCUCCUCUGUCUCCCACACUCUGGAAAGCCCAGCUGGGAUAUCCAGGUCGGAGCCUCACUGGCAGCCCCUGGAAGUCCAGAAUGAGGGGUCACUGCCUCUCGCCCACCCAGAAAGGGCGCAGGAGGGGGCAGCAAGAUUCCGGGGCCUGUCUGGCCAGAAGGAAAUGUCUGUGCUGUGGCCUGGUCACCCCCGCCCCCAGGACCUGCUGGGCUGCUGCCGCCCCUGGGCCGGGGCUGAGGCCGAGUAAACACAGCAAACACAGCCGCCGGCAGCCUGGGAUAUUUAUACCGAGGCUGGGCGUGGGUCCAGUGCCCACCACAGCCCCUGCCCUGCCCUGCUUUGCCUGCUGCCACAGCCAGCUCCAAGCCAGCGUGGCACCAGCCGGCAAGGGGAUGCGCCACAGACACAGCCUGCGCUGGGUAUGGAGGCCAACAGGCACUGGGCGCUCACGAUGCAGGCGGCUUCAUGGGUGUACCCUGUUCCCCUCCCCUGAAAACACCAGCACACAAUGUGGACCCACACUCGCAGCCACUUGGGAACACACAUCCACCCCUGCUGAGAACCUGAGAAUGCGAAAUGCCCUCAACGGUGAUGCAAAACGGACCCACACAACUCCACAUACUGCAGUCACCAGCCUGCAUGUGGGAACACAGCACGCAGACACCACUUAG
rnacentral:lncRNA from 1 species